rnacentral:rRNA from 1 species
GAUGAACGCUGGCGGCGUGCAUAACACAUUCAAGUCGAACGGGUUAAGAUCUUUCGGGAGCUUAACUAGUGGCGGACGGGUGAGUAACACGUGAGCAACUUGCCUACCUGAGUGGAAUAACACAGAGAAAUUUGUGCUAAUACCGCAUGACAUAUCGAAGCGGCAUCGCUUUGAUAUCAAAGAUUUAUCGCAGGUAGAUAGGCUCGCGUUCCGAUUAGGCAGUUGGUGAGGUAACGGCUCACCAAACCGACGAUCGGUAGCCGGACUGAGAGGUUGAACGGCCACAUUGGAACUGAGAAACGGUCCAGACUCCUACGGGAGGCAGCAGUGGGGAAUAUUGGGCAAUGGGCGAAAGCCUGACCCAGCGACGCCGCGUGAGGGAAGAAGGUCUUCGGAUUGUAAACCUUUGUUGAAGGGGAAGAAGAAAGUGACGGUACCCUUCGAGGAAGCCACGGCUAACUACGUAG